rnacentral:rRNA from 1 species
GACGAACGCUGGCGGCGUGCCUAAUACAUGCAAGUUGAGCGCUGAAGGUUGGUACUUGUACCAACUGGAUGAGCAGCGAACGGGUGAGUAACGCGCGGGGAAUCUGCCUUUGAGCGGGGGACAACAUUUGGAAACGAAUGCUAAUACCGCAUAAAAACUUUAAACACAAGUUUUAAGUUUGAAAGAUGCAAUUGCAUCACUCAAAGAUGAUCCCGCGUUGUAUUAGCUAGUUGGUGAGGUAAAGGCUCACCAAGGCGAUGAUACAUAGCCGACCUGAGAGGGUGAUCGGCCACAUUGGGACUGAGACACGGCCCAAACUCCUACGGGAGGCAGCAGUAGGGAAUCUUCGGCAAUGGACGAAAGUCUGACCGAGCAACGCCGCGUAAGUGAAGAAGGUUUUCGGAUCGUAAAACUCUGUUGGUAGAGAAGAACGUUGGUGAGAGUGGAAAGCUCAUCAAGUGACGGUAACUACCCAGAAAGGGACGGCUAACUACGUG